rnacentral:tRNA from 1 species
GGAUAGCUCAGUGGGUAGAGCAGAUGACCAGGAAUCAUCGGGUCGCGGGUUCGAGUCCCGCUCCA